CCUACGGGUGGCAGCAGUGAGGAAUAUUGGUCAAUGGGCGGAAGCCUGAACCAGCCAAGUAGCGUGCGGGAUGAAGGCCCUACGGGUCGUAAACCGCUUUUGCACGGGGAUAACACCCUCCACUUGUGGAGGUCUGCAGGUACCGUGCGAAUAAGGGCCGGCUAAUUCCGUGCCAGCAGCCGCGGUAAUACGGAAGGCCCGAGCGUUAUCCGGAUUCAUUGGGUUUAAAGGGUGCGUAGGCGGAAUGCCAAGUCAGCGGUAAAAUCGCGGGGCUCAACCUCGCUCCGCCGUUGAAACUGGCGUUCUUGAGUGGGCGAGAAGUAUGCGGAAUGCUUGGUGUAGCGGUGAAAUGCAUAGAUAUCACGCAGAACUCCGAUUGCGAAGGCAGCAUACCGGCGCCCAACUGACGCUGAAGCACGAAAGCGUGGGUAUCGAACAGGAUUAGAUACCCUAGUAGUC
rnacentral:rRNA from 1 species